rnacentral:lncRNA from 1 species
UAUAUAUAUAAAACUGAACAUAUGUAUAUAAGAAUAUAUACCAUUGAAUUUUUAUAUUACGCUUUUGCACGGUUCGAGUGGAAAUUCCGCUGAAUGCGGCUGGCUGGUUGCAUAGCCGAUAUAACUGAUGCAGGGGAAGAACGAAUAUACGCGAUAGAACUGCAAUAUUGGAUAGAUUUGUAAUACACGAGGGAUUCAGAACAAUCAGCCACGCAAAAUGUUGGUUUUAAAUGUUAAAAAUCAAAUGUCAUGAGAUUUGCGAAUCUGUACUAUUUUAUCCUAAGUUAAUUUCAUGUGGAUAAUAUUUUAAAGGAUAUAUUUGCAAUUAGCCAAUAUAAUGUAAUAUCAACGCACAUAAAAUGGAAUAAAAAGGCGCAAGAAAAAAGUUAAAGGAUCUAUUUUCUGAGAUUUAUAGCGCAAAGAUAAAAAGACCAAUUUUUGCACGAUCUAAUAAGCUAUCGGAGCAUACAUAGAAAAACUACAAUACAAAAAAAUUUAAGCUAGAAGUCCUAAACAUGAGAAGGCUGAACUUAAUAUAUUUUAUUCUACGAUUAAUUUCUCAGAUUAGGACAUAUGAAAAAUUCUAAAGAACCAUAUCCUAAAAUCUAAGGCUAUAUAGCUAAAAUAGGAAGGCUAACCUUUGAACGGUUGAUUCAGCUACCAGUGCACGUAAGAUAAGAUAAGCCGCAAAAAAAGAAGCCAGAGAAGUCUAAAAUUUAGGACCCAAAUAUAGGCAAACAUAGGGAAAGCCAAGAAGAUCCCAAAAUUUAUGGCCUUAACAUAGGAAGACCAAUCUUGCACGGUUGAUUCAACAACCAAUUUCGCUUAGAGUGCAAAAUUGAAGCUAGAAAAUUCAUAUCCAAGAAAUUAAUACCCGAACGUAAGAAGGCCAAACGAAAGAGGAGCAAUCAUCGAAUGUACACACACACAUGUAGCAUAUCUAACAGGUAGCCCGACAGCAGCACCACCACCACACCCAAACGAAGGGGAGUAGAACGUAAAGGGAAGCUGUAUCGAUUGGAGGCUUUGCUGGGUAACCACCGGCAGCUUCCGUUGGUCCUGCACUCUCCUCCAAAUCUCGCCAUUGGAAAGCCAACGAAUUUUACACCACGUGUUCCAUCGACCAUGUCCAAAGGUCCCGCUUGCUCGAGCUGCCAUGAAUAGACCCGAGUCUCGACUCGACUAACAGAUUUCGUGAUUCCUGUAAUUAAGUUAAUCGAAUCGCCUUUGCAUACAUGCUGGUCUGGCUUAAUAUACAAUCUCGCCACGGCUAUUCUAACUAUUGGAGUUUAAAGUAAUACAUCGUGAAUCUCCAAAGGCGUAUACGUUAAAAGAUAUUUUAAUUCUCUUUAGGAUCCGAAUGAUUUGACGAUCGUACGUUGAUCGUUUCUAAAUCGAAUUCGUGAUUGAAGGUAUCAAAUCAACUCAAUUUCAGAUUUUUUAUAAUAUUUUAUAAUUAUUAUAAAUAUACAGAUUUCAACACAAAGUUUCUAUUCGAAUAGAAAAAUAAUUAUAUAUUACAUACAUAUAUUAUUGCGAGGGAUCACAAGUAAAAUUGCUUGUACGCGCAAAACCAUGCACAUUACUCGAAUCGUGUAACGAUCAAAUUUGCCAUUAAACGAGUAACAUCGCUGUAAAUUCGAAAUCGGAUUGAAAAGCAACUCUUCAUUAUAUUAUAGAAUUUUCGAGAUCAAUGAAUGUUACAAAUGCAUCAGCCAUGUUGAGACGAAAAAGAUGAACCGCAAAUUGUGGUUCGAACCAACCGACUAAAAUGGAACUAGCAGCUAUCGUGAUAGUAAUUAGAUCUAGUUCCAUUGGUUAAAUAGUUGCAAAUGAGAAAAUACCAUUGUCUAUCCGAAUCAAAUGUGUUGUAUGCGAUGCAUAUAGGAAGAAAAUUCAUUCGAUUCACACUAACAGUCGAUGCACGAGCACAAAUGCUAUUUCAAUAUGGCUGCACGUGAUUGGAACGUGAAUGUUGAGAUAAAUCUCGUUCUCCAGGAUUGCGUUAUCAUCAUCAAAAUAUAUUCUGGACAAUUUAAGAAGAUAAUAUCAAAGUUAUAAAGAAACAAAUACGAUUAGUUACAAAAU